UACGUAGGGGGCUAGCGUUGUCCGGAUUUAUUGGGCGUAAAGAGCGCGUAGGCGGCCGAGUAAGUCCGACGUGAAAUCUGGAGGCUCAACCUCCAGCGGUCGUUGGAAACUACUCGGCUAGAGUCCGGAAGAGGAGAGUGGAAUUCCUGGUGUAGCGGUGAAAUGCGCAGAUAUCAGGAAGAACACCGAUGGCGAAGGCAGCUCUCUGGGCCACACCUGACGCUGAGACGCGAAAGCUAGGGGAGCGAACAGG
rnacentral:rRNA from 1 species